AGUCGCACGGCAGCACAGGAGAGCUUGCUCUCUGGGUGGCGAGUGGCGGACGGGUGAGGAAUACAUCGGAAUCUACUCUGUCGUGGGGGAUAACGUAGGGAAACUUACGCUAAUACCGCAUACGACCUACGGGUGAAAGCAGGGGACCUUCGGGCCUUGCGCGAUUGAAUGAGCCGAUGUCGGAUUAGCUAGUUGGCGGGGUAAAGGCCCACCAAGGCGACGAUCCGUAGCUGGUCUGAGAGGAUGAUCAGCCACACUGGAACUGAGACACGGUCCAGACUCCUACGGGAGGCAGCAGUGGGGAAUAUUGGACAAUGGGCGCAAGCCUGAUCCAGCCAUACCGCGUGGGUGAAGAAGGCCUUCGGGUUGUAAAGCCCUUUUGUUGGGAAAGAAAUCCAGCUGGCUAAUACCCGGUUGGGAUGACGGUACCCAAAGAAUAAGCACCGGCUAACUUCGUGCCAGCAGCCGCGGUAAUACGAAGGGUGCAAGCGUUACUCGGAAUUACUGGGCGUAAAGCGUGCGUAGGUGGUUAUUUAAGUCCGUUGUGAAAGCCCUGGGCUCAACCUGGGAACUGCAGUGGAUACUGGAUGACUAGAAUGUGGUAGAAGGUAGCGGAAUUCCUGGUGUAGCAAUGAAAUGCGUAAAGAUCAAGAGGAACAUCCAUGGGGGAAAGCGCCUACCUGUACCCACAUUGACACUUAGGCGCAAAAGCCUGGGGAGCAAACAGGGAUUAUAUACCCUCGGGGGU
rnacentral:rRNA from 1 species